rnacentral:lncRNA from 1 species
AUACACUGGAUACUUUCUUUAGGAAAACCAAUGGUGCCCAUUGACUGUGUCUGAAGGAAACUGUUUACAUAGCUACAUGUGGAGUCAUUAUCACAAACCAGACAGACCUGGGAGGGCUCCUCAAACAAAGAUGACCUACCUUUCCUGGCCAGCACAGAAGUGAAUUAACUGAAGACUACCCAGAAUUCAGAGGGAGGAAUAAUAAAUGGCAUCCAUCAGGAAAGAUCCAGAGAUUUGAAACCAGAAGGAUUCCAGUUGAAUCACAGCUUGUCCACAGAGAGCAAUCAUCAAGUUGGCUGCGUUGAGCGGCAGGCUUAAACAGCUCAUUGCUAGCUUCUGAGGAGAGAAAGAACAAACCCUGACCUUUGAGUGGCAUGUGGAAUUUUAAGAGAGAGAAUACAGACAAAGCAGCAUGGGACCUCGUUGGUUAUUAAGAAGUGAUUAAUGUAGGCAAUAAAAGUCUAUAAAAGG